GUCCGUCGUGAAGAGGGAAACAACCCUGACCUGCAGCUAAGGCCCCCAAUUCGUGGCUAAGUGGGAAAGCAUGUGGGACUUCCAAAACAACCAGGAGGUUGGCUUAGAAGCAGCCAUCCUUUAAAGAUAGCGUAACAGCUCACUGGUCUAAACAAGAGGUCCUGCGGCGAAGAUGUAACGGGGCUCAAGCCACGAGCCGAAGCUCAGGGUGCACCUUCGGGUGCGCGGUAGCGGAGCGUUCUGUCUAUUAAGACCUUGCCUCUUCAGCACCUCUCGGGGUGAUGCGGAGGCAUUGGUCUUGGCGAUGAAGCCGGGCUGUGAGGCACCGGUGGAGCAUUCAGAAGCGAGAAUGUUGACAUGAGUAGCGACAAACAGGGUGAGAGACCCUGUCGCCGAAAGUCCAAGGGUUCCUGCUUAAAGCUAAUCUGAGCAGGGUGAGCCGACCCCUAAGGCGAGGCCGAAAGGCGUAGUCGAUGGGAACCAGGUUAAUAUUCCUGGGCCAGGAGGAAGUGACGGAUCGCAGCUGUUGUCUGGUCUUAUCGGAUUGACCAGGCUUCGAAGCGGUUCCUGGAAAUAGCCCUCCAUGAGAUCGUACCCGAAACCGACACAGGUGGACUGGUAGAGCAUACCAAGGCGCUUGAGAGAACUACGUUGAAGGAACUCGGCAAAAUGCCUCCGUAACUUCGGGAGAAGGAGGCCCCGUUCCUGGGCAACCAGGGGCGGGGGGCACAAACCAGGGGGUGGCGACUGUUUACUAAAAACACAGGACUCUGCGAAGCCCAAAGGCGACGUAUAGGGUCUGACGCCUGCCCGGUGCCGGAAGGUUAAAAGGAGGGGUGCAAGCUCCGAAUUGAAGCCCCGGUAAACGGCGGCCGUAACUAUAACGGUCCUAAGGUAGCGAAAUUCCUUGUCGGGUAAGUUCCGACCUGCACGAAUGGCGUAACGACUUCCCCGCUGUCUCCAACGUAGACUCAGCGAAAUUGAACUCCCCGUGAAGAUGCGGGGUUCCCGCGGUCAGACGGAAAGACCCCGUGCACCUUUACUACAGCUUCACACUGGCAUCAGGUCAGGCAUGUGCAGGAUAGGUGGUAGGCUUUGAAGCGGGGACGCCAGUUCCCGGGGAGCCUCCCUUGAGAUACCACCCUUGCCUUGCCUGAUGUCUAACCGCGGACCGUCAUCCGGUUCCGGGACCCUGUGUGGCGGGUAGUUUGACUGGGGCGGUCGCCUCCCAAAGAGUAACGGAGGCGCGCGAUGGUGGGCUCAGGUUGGUCGGAAAUCAACCGUCGAGUGCAAUGGCAUAAGCCCGCCUGACUGCGAGACUGACAAGUCGAGCAGAGACGAAAGUCGGCCAUAGUGAUCCGGUGGUCC
rnacentral:rRNA from 1 species